rnacentral:rRNA from 1 species
AGUGAACGCUGGCGGUAGGCCUAACACAUGCAAGUCGAACGGCAGCACAGUAAGCGCUUGCUCUUACGGUUGGCUACUGGCGGACGGGUGAGGCGUACAUCGCCAUCUACUUUUUCGUGGGUGGUAACGUAGGGAGACUUACGCUAAUACCUCAUACUAGCUACGGGUUAAAGCAUGGGAUCUUCGGACCUUUCCCGAAUUAAUAGGCCGAUGUGCGAUUUACUAGUUGGCAGGUUAAAGGCCAACCAAGCCGAGCAUCCGUAGCUAGUCGGAGAGGAUGAUGAGCCACACUGGAAUUGAGACACGGUCCAGACUCCUACGGGAGGCAGCAGUGGGGAAUAUUGGACAAGGGGGGCAAGCCUGAUCCAGCCAUCCCGCGUGGGUGAAGAAGACCUUCGGGUUGUAAAGCCCUUUUGUUGGCAAAGAAAAGCGGCAGGUUAAUACCCCGACGUUCUGACGGUACCCAAAGAAUAAGCAACGGCUAACUUCGUG